GUUAUAGUGUGUGGCAAGCGAUAGAUCAUGUAGGCCGGGUCAGACUGAGCAGAGGUGUUCAGUGAAACGAUCGGCGAGCCUGUGUUUGGUCUCGUCGAUAUACAGGAGUCCACACCUGGAACAGCGGAUACAGUGGAUGAGGUUGGAGGAGGUGAAAGUGAACCUCCGCCUCACCUGGACAGAGUGUUGGGGA